GCUCUUCUCCAGGAAACCUGGGCUUCCUGCUUCCCUCGCCUCUGCCUUUCUCGUUUCCCGAGGCCGCCCGCGCGUGGACGGUUGGGGUUAGCGGCCGCGGGGGCCGGUGGGGGUCGUGGGGCCUCCCCCACCCGAGUACAGGCGAGCGAGCGGCAUCCGGGCGGACCCCCGCCUCGGGGACCGGGAAACUGAGGCUCGGGCGGCCCCGAGACGCCGUCAAGGUCAUGUAGGUGGUGGGGGCUUGCACCUUCGCCUCCCGACUCCAUCCAGUUCGUGUUUGCUGUGAGGACGGUACCGGGUCAGGGGUGGUGAGAGCGGGCGGGCAGGUGGACAGGAACCCCGUGCCCUUCCCUGUCUGCUGAACGGAAUGCGUGGACCUCCGGGGGAGCCCAGAGUGCCUCCCUUCACACCAGUGAGACGCAGUUUGGGGUGUCCCUGGCCAGUGUCCUUCCACCUGUCCACAAGCAUGGGGAACAUCUUCGCCAACCUCUUCAAGGGCCUUUUUGGCAAAAAAGAAAUGCGCAUCCUCAUGGUGGGCCUGGAUGCUGCAGGGAAGACCACGAUCCUCUACAAGCUUAAGCUGGGUGAGAUCGUGACCACCAUUCCCACCAUAGGUGAGGUGGGGGCCAGCAGGGAGUGGGCUGGGCUGGCCUGGGCCAAGGUACAAGGCCUCACCCUGCAUCCCGCACCCAGGCUUCAACGUGGAAACCGUGGAGUACAAGAACAUCAGCUUCACUGUGUGGGACGUGGGUGGCCAGGACAAGAUCCGGCCCCUGUGGCGCCACUACUUCCAGAACACACAAGGCCUGAUCUUCGUGGUGGACAGCAAUGACAGAGAGCGUGUGAACGAGGCCCGUGAGGAGCUCAUG
rnacentral:sRNA from 1 species